rnacentral:tmRNA from 1 species
AACGCCUAUACUAUAUAUGCUGGUAUGCCAGCUAUGGUGAUAAACGCCCUGCGAAAUAAGCGUUGCGGACCCGGGGGCAGUGCCCGGCGCCUCCACCAAUUAAGCUUUUUAGUUAGUUAGGAUUUAAAUCCUUAAGGGAGUUUAGGGGGCGAAAUAGGAUCGACGUGCGUAAUAAAGGCUUGGUUUUUGCUCGGUGGGGUUCCGCCGUUACCGGACCAAAUUUUAUAGUUGCAAACGACAACUAUGCUGAGGCUCGCCUGGCUGCGUAAUGCGGCCUGGUGAACCACUUUUAAAGCCCUUUCGGUUAGCACCGUAAGGCGGGGUUCGGGUGGCACCUGGCAACAGAAGCCCCCA